GAUAGCUGGCCGCAGCACCAGGAGCCUCUCUUACCACAGUUGUGUGAUAGUCCCUUCCUGCUUUGAUGGGUAGCUGGGACUGCAACUUGGUCCUUUGCUGAGAAAAUUUACUAGUCUAUGGAAAACAAAGGUAGCCUAUUCCAACGUUCUGACGUCUUUCUAAAAUUACAAUCCAGUAGGCACUUGGACCAAAUCCUAAAAUAGCAAGGGGUUCAGCUCUAUGGGUCACAGUUCAACCACCUGCCUCACUAUUGUAUAACAAAUGUUGCCAAAUUCCCAGCUAGAACUGAGGGCAUCCUCACCACCUUAGAAAUCAUCUCAGCUUAAUCAGUUUCCCACACUUAGACCAGCCUAAAAGAAAAAAGAGAGUUUGUUAACUGACAUACCUGGGAAAUUCUGUGGAUAAAUCUUUAGCUACAAUUAAUUCCAGAGGCUCAAGUGAUGACAUCAGACAUCAGAACUCUCCAUCCGUCUCUCAACUUGAUUCUACUUGGCUUUGAUAAACAGUCUCACCCGAUAGCAGUCACGAUGUCUCCUGGCUACUCUGACUAACAAGCUUCUCAGUAUAACGAUCUCGGGGGAAAUAAACCUUCACUCCUCCAAUAACCACAGAGCAAUCCCUGUGGCUAAGGGUGGGGUUCUCAUAAAGGGAUAACAAGAAAAAUUCCCUGAAGGCCCUUGACAAAGGGAGCGGAAAAGUCUGUGGGCAGACUCCACUUCACUCUUGCUACUCAAGGUGUCGUUCACGAGCCACCAGCAGGGCAGCAUCACCUGAGAGCAUGUUAGAAAUGGGAAUAUAGCACUGCAGCCUCCAUCCAAAACUUCUCCAUCUGACUCUUCAGUUAACAAGCUCCCCAGGUGAUUCGCAUGCACAGUAGAAUCGAGAAAGUCUGCUUUAAUAAAGUGGCCAUCCAAGCGAGAAUGCAGGGGAAAAGCAUUUUUAUGCCGGGACUUAGAAAGUAGAAGCCCACGUCUCCUUCCUGAAAGAAGACAUUCCACGACGUCCAGCCAUCUGAGAGAGACACAAUGAAUUCAAGAAUGGAGAUGCUGAGAUUUAAAAGGAUAAUCUCUGACUCUUCCCAUGAAGUGGUGACAGCUGCUGGCAGGACCAGACACUCAUUCUUACAACCUAGCACCAGCAGAAGAAAGAGGGCUGCUGUGGCCAUGUAGUCCCAGAAAACAUCUCAGGAUUGCCUCUUCUUAGCCCUGCCUCAGUCAUUUGACACCCCAAGCCAGAAUUUGUGGCC
rnacentral:lncRNA from 1 species